AUUGAACGCUGGCGGCAGGCCUAACACAUGCAAGUCGAGCGGAUGAAGGGAGCUUGCUCCUGGAUUCAGCGGCGGACGGGUGAGUAAUGCCUAGGAAUCUGCCUGGUAGUGGGGGAUAACGUCCGGAAACGGGCGCUAAUACCGCAUACGUCCUGAGGGAGAAAGUGGGGGAUCUUCGGACCUCACGCUAUCAGAUGAGCCUAGGUCGGAUUAGCUAGUUGGUGGGGUAAAGGCCUACCAAGGCGACGAUCCGUAUCUGGUCUGAGAGGAUGAUCAGUCACACUGGAGCUGGAACAGCGUCCAGACUCCUGCGGUAGGCAGCAGACGGGAAUAUGGGACAAUGGGCGAAAGCCUGAUCCAGCCAGGCCGCGUGUGUGAAGAAGGUCUUCGGAUUGUAAAGAACUUUAAGUUGGGAGGAAGGGCAGUAAGUUAAUACCUUGCUGUUUUGACGUUACCAACAGAAUAAGCACCGGCUAACUUCGUG
rnacentral:rRNA from 1 species